rnacentral:rRNA from 1 species
AAUCAACGCUGGCGGCGUGCCUAACACAUGCAAGUCGAACGCGAAAGGGGCUUCGGCCCUGAGUAGAGUGGCGAACGGGUGAGUAACACGUGGGUGAUCUACCUCUGAGUGGGGGAUAACGUUCCGAAAGGAGCGCUAAUACCGCAUGACGUCCUGGGUUUGAAGACCUGGACACCAAAGUCGGGGACCGCAAGGCCUGACGCUUGGAGAGGAGCCCGCGCCUGAUUAGCUAGUUGGUGAGGUAAUGGCUCACCAAGGCGACGAUCAGUAGCCGGCCUGAGAGGGCGGACGGCCACACUGGGACUGAGACACGGCCCAGACUCCUACGGGAGGCAGCAGUGGGGAAUUGUUCGCAAUGGGCGCAAGCCUGACGACGCAACGCCGCGUGGAGGAUGAAGGUCUUCGGAUUGUAAACUCCUGUUGACCGGGAAGAAUGGACUCCGCAUUAACACCGCGGGGGAAUGACGGUACCGGUUGAGGAAGCCACGGCUAACUCUGUGCCAGCCGCCGCCGUAACAC